AUGCAACAGCCUACAGGCGAGAUGGAGAUGAAGAAGGCGCCUCUGCCAGCGCCUGCUUUCCACAAAGAGUACACUCUUCCUAGAGCACGACACUACCUUGAUCAACACUAUUCACUCCGCCCUCCUCUCUCCAAGGAUGAUUACUCCAAAAAGGAUCCUACAAGCGAGAUGGAGAAGAAGAAGAAGGCGCCGCUGCCAACACCUCAUUUCCACAAAGAGCGGCCUCUUCCUAGAGCAGAGCGGUCCCCCGAUCGACGCUACUCGCCUUACCCUCCUCCGUCCAUGGAUGGUUGCUCUGGAAAGAAUGCUGGAUCUUGGCCUCUUCCCCCGAUUUACUAUGGGCCUCCAUCUGAAGCCUUUCAUGUCGACUGGCGCAAUAAAGACGGGGUUGUGGACAUGGAGCAUUACAGCACAGAGCUGUUUGCAGCGAUGGACAAACAUAGUAUUUUGUCGGUGCACCGUUGUACACGCCCACAGUUUGGACCAAACGUCAGCGCUGAGUAUGUGCUUGAUCCUAUAUUUGAGGAUACGUUCCUUGCCAAUCCCCGUUUUAGCUACCUGCUUCCCUUGAUCGGCCACAAAGUAUCUUCUGCAGCUGAGGCUCCCAAUUCAACCACGCAGGUUGGCACAACUACUGGAUACUGGCAGUGUGAUGGUUCUAUAGAAGUCCCUGUCCGCGAAGUUGCUGCUUUGAAGAUUUCUGACAACUAG
rnacentral:rRNA from 1 species